GACGAACGCUGGCGGCGUGCCUAAUACAUGCAAGUCGAACGAGAGCGACCGGUGCUUGCACUGGUCAAUCUAGUGGCGAACGGGUGAGUAACACGUGGGUAACCUGCCCAUCAGAGGGGGAUAACAUUCGGAAACGGAUGCUAAAACCGCAUAGGCCUUCGAACCGCAUGGUUUGAAGAGGAAAAGAGGCGCAAGCUUCUGCUGAUGGAUGGACCCGCGGUGCAUUAGCUAGUUGGUGAGGUAACGGCUCACCAAGGCCGUGAUGCAUAGCCGACCUGAGAGGGUGAUCGGCCACAUUGGGACUGAGACACGGCCCAAACUCCUACGGGAGGCAGCAGUAGGGAAUCUUCCGCAAUGGACGCAAGUCUGACGGAGCAACGCCGCGUGAGUGAAGAAGGUUUUCGGAUCGUAAAACUCUGUUGUUAGAGAAGAACAAGUGCUAGAGUAACUGUUAGCGCCUUGACGGUAUCUAACCAG
rnacentral:rRNA from 1 species